ensembl:lncRNA WEE2-AS1 WEE2 antisense RNA 1
UCUCUUUGUGCGCGGGCGGAUGGAUCAACGCCGCCAAGUGGGUAAGGUCUGAGGAUUGCGUCAUUAGGCGAUUUUGUUGCUGUACGAACACCACAGAAUGUACUUUGACGACCUAGAUGGUGGAGCCUGGACACACCUCGGCUCUGUGGUGUGGCCUGCUGCUUCCAGGCUGCAAACCUGACAGCAUGGGGCUGUACUGAAUACCGCAGACCAUUGUAAUUCAUGGGGAAAGCGCGAAUGCAGUCCCCCACUACAACAAAUUAUGCAGUCGAGUUUUCCACAUUUGGGAAUAUCACAGGGGUCAGCACAUCCGGAGUGCAAUCGAUGAGCCCCACGCUGGGAAAAACCACCUUCGUGAUCAUGGUAUCUUCCCUGCCAGCAACCUAAUCACAGAGCCUCCCAGCCCGAUGCUACAAAGAGCCGCAUGCUGCCAGUUUCCUUGUGGGCAGGGACCUAUGUAUUAUAAUGGUGAAUAUAUUUAUACUUGAAUCCACAGAGAAGACACAGUAGACUAGUCAUACCAUUGUGAGUAGUGCUCAGAUUCUUUCUUGACCCCCCAUCAUCCAAAAAUAUACCUUUCCAGUGUGGCAGUCUUGAACUUUUCCAAAUUCAGCUGCUGUUGGAGCUCUUCUGUUUUUCCCAGGGAAGGCCGGAGAACUGUAUUUCUGGCCAGAGCUGCUGCAGAAGGUCUCUGUUCGGCAUCAGGUUGGAUCAUGUUCUGAUGAUAUAGGACCAAGAGGAAAGAAACAGAAGCUUCACUAUUGGGAAAAAUCUUCCCAUUCAAGCCAACUCCAACCCAGCUUCUCCUGGUGGAUUUUGUAAGACAUUGCUUCUGCUUUGUGCAGAGGAAAGAAAUGAAAACUGAGCUCCACCUGGGGCAGGAGGAUUGUCCAUGUCUGGUAGCACCAGUUGUCCACACCUUUGAUUUGUUUUUAAUCAUAUUUUGGAGCUGGCUGGCUAACUAGUCUAUUGCCUUAGUUUUAAAGCAGAAAAAACUAAGACUCUCGAUAAAAAUUAUCCAAAUUACUGGAAUGGACAAGACCAAAACCCAGUUUGCCCAACUCUUACUCCAGUUUACUUUCUACCACAUCAUGUUGCUUUUUCACUUAGUAUUAAUAACCCAACAUGACAGUAUUCCUGAAGCAUUUAUUUUAAGGUAGACGAUGUAACCUAUCAUGAUUUGAAUAUAGUAGAAAAUACCUAAUUAUAUACAGCAACUGAAACUGUCAUAUAAUGAAGAAAACACUGAACCAAAUUCAGACCAAAUUCAGAGCCAACUCCACCAUUUGUUGUAUAAACUUUGCUGAAGCUCCAUUUCCCUUACCUGAAAUUUGGGAUAAUUAUAUUCACUUUCUUGAACUAUUUUUAGAAUUUAACAAAAUUAAUAUAUGUCUUAUCUAGUACAGGGCCAGCAUUUAGGUACUGAAAUAUCAACUAAAUGCAAAAGUGGUUUACAUAUGGAAAUAGGUGAUUAGACUGAACAAAAGGAAGGAGGAAGAGUUUGCCUCCUUUCAGGAAAGCAAAAGAAGUCAGGAAGAAGGACAGAUUUGUAAAUACAUUUGAAGUUUGCAGGUAAACUGUGAAACUAAUCUCCCACACCUGCAGUCCAGCUACUCAGGAAGCUGAGGCAGGAGGAUUGCUCGAGCCCAGGAGUUCAAGGCUGCAGUAAGCUAUGAUUGUGCCACUGCACUCCAGUCUAGGCAACAGAAUGAGACCCUGUCCCAAAAAAUAAAAAAUAAAAAUAAAAAUAAAAAAAAUCUAAUCUCCAAGGAAGUAGAUAUUUCUAAGGCUGUUUUGGGAAUCCUAGCCAAUCCUGUUCCUUAAGACAUGAUUUAAAGUCAUAUAUACACUUUUCUUGACAUGAUUAAGCUUCUUGACAGUAUAAGCUUUUUGUUUCUAUUUCAACAUAGUAUCUUCCUUUUCUUGUCCCCACACUACUCAGAUGUCAUUAAGAACAAGUAAAACAUAGAUUUUUGAAUUGACAUUAUGCCUUUUUUCUAAUAGCUCAAAUAAUUGGUAUUAUCAAUUAUCAAUAAAGUAG